rnacentral:snRNA from 1 species
AUAUCUUACUAGAGAAGCUC